AAUAGAUGUAAUUUCAAACAUGUCCAACUUUGAAUCUGCAGUCAAACAAUAUAUGCUCUCUCCUAAAGAGGCAUGUAUUAUGCUUAAAAUGUGGGCACCAAGCAGCAUUGCAUGCAGAUUAAAUUCCCCCAUAAAUGGGCCCAUUAAUCGGGAUCAAGAUUGGUUCAAAGAGGACAAAUGGGGGACAGAAGGAGACAGGCUUAGAGCAAUCUCCAAAUUGAUUACCGGAGAAAGAGAUUUAGACAGUCAUUUACUCGCUGAAAUGAAGGUACACUUACAGGAUGAUCCUUGGCUUUUUGCAUGUAAAUUUGAACAAGUGUACAGAUUAACCCACCGUAUACCACAAGACCAAACCCCUCCUGAUUUACUGCAAUACCUGAUAAAAAAAUUCACUUAUUUAGAUCCCGGAGUGCAAAUGAUAGCAGAGGAAAAAGACACUCUGGAAGGAGUUCUAACUAUUAUAGGAAAAGCUAG